UACGGGAGGCAGCAGUGGGGAAUAUUGCACAAUGGGCGAAAGCCUGAUGCAGCUAUGCCGCGUGUAUGAAGAAGGCCUUAGGGUUGUAAAGUACUUUCAUCGGGGAGGAAAAAACAAAACUAAUAAUUUUAUUUCUUGACGUUACCCGAAAAAGAAGCACCGGCUAACUCCGUGCCAGCAGCCGCGGUAAUACGGAGGGUGCUAGCGUUAAUCAGAAUUACUGGGCGUAAAGAGCACGUAGGUGGUUUUUUUAAGUCAGAUGUGAAAUCCCUGGGCUUAACCUAGGAACUGCAUUUUGAAACUGAAAUACUAGAGUAUCGUAGAGGGAGGUAGAAUUCUAGGUGUAGCGGUGAAAUGCGUAGAUAUCUGGAGGAAUACCUGUGGCGAAAGCGGCCUCCUAAACGAAUACUGACACUGAGGUGCGAAAGCGUGGGGAGCAAACGAGCAGUUAGAUACC
rnacentral:rRNA from 1 species